AGAGUUUGAUCCUGGCUCAGGAUGAAUGCUGGCGGCGUGCCUAACACAUGCAAGUCGAGCGGCAGCGGGUUCUGCACUAUCAACUUGAAGCCUGGACGCGGGGAUUUCCAAAGGAAAUCAGCCGCAUCAUUUCGAAAGGAGUGAGUGUCUAGGGUGAUCUCGAAUUGAUGGUGCAGAAUGUCGGCGAGCGGCGAACGGCUGAGUAACGCGUAGGAAUUUGCCCCAAAGUGAGGGAUAACUGCCCGAAAGGGUAGCUAAUACCGCAUAUGGUCUUCGGAUUAAAGGAUUUAUCCGCUUUGGGAGAAGCCUGCGUUGGAUUAGGUUGUUGGUAGGGUAAUGGCCCACCAAGCCGACGAUCCAUAGCUGGUCUGAGAGGAUGAUCAGCCAGACUGGAACUGAGACACGGUCCAGACUCCUACGGGAGGCAGCAGUGAGGAAUCUUCCACAAUGGGCGAAAGCCUGAUGGAGCAACGCCGCGUGAAGGAUGAAGGCCUUCGGGUUGUAAACUUCUUUUAUGAGUGAAGAAUAUGACGGUAACUCAUGAAUAAGCACCGGCUAACUACGUGCCAGCAGCCGCGGU
rnacentral:rRNA from 1 species